CACAAGCAGUGCCGGUACUCACGAUUACAAGCUCUGAGAUGUUCUCCACCAACCCACGGCAGCUCAGAGAUGCUCACUUCCAUGGGACAAACUUCCUCCGCUCUGCAAAGCUGGUACCCACCACUCCUUUCCCAAGGGUUCUUCUUUCACGCAGGGAAAGCAAGAGCAAGCAGCAGCCUCCAGCCUGGCGUGGAGCAGAAGCAGGAGGCUCCUCGUCUUUGGGUGCACUAGGGGAGGUGGGAAGCUCUGCUCCAAGAGUUUUGUCCCUAAGACAGCAGUGCAUGCCCAGGAGAGCCCAGGCUCGGCUCUCUCUUGGCACGGCUACCAUCAGGCUGCAGAGAUGCUGACUGCCACGAGAGGACACCAUCCUACCUCCGACUUCCUCAGCUCUCAGCCCUCGGUAAAAAUCUCCAUAAUAAUAUUACAGGGAUGGAGUGGAACACACACGUCGGAGAGGAGAGCAAGAAAGAAACAAUAUGUUGAUCAUCCUGCUCUAGCCAGCGAGAGCGCUGCCCUGCCAUUUAUUUCUGCAGCAACUAUCCCUUUAAAUAUACAAAUGGCAGGGAUAUUAGGCUGUAAUAGGCAGCCCAGGGAUUAGUUUGAAUACACUUCAUCUGGUGGUUUGUGCGUGUGCGUGCGGGUGUGUGUUGGUUGACUUUAAAAUGGAAUAAACCACAUUUAGCAGCUAGGUAGCUAUGGAAACAUAACCAAAAUUGUUCUACCACCUUUCUGCCGCACUGCUUCCCGCAGCCCUGCAAACACUGUCAGGGGAGGGCUGAAUAUUGUUUCUUAUAAAUAAUAGAAUGUAAAGAGCUACAGAAAGAAUCAUUGAAUUAGGAUUGCGAAGUGGAGAUGGUUUGGGGGGGGGAGGGGGAAAACUGCCCGGUAGAUGCAAUAUUAGUUUCUGAUGACUUAGCAGCGAUAAGAGACUUAAUUUUAUUCUUUUGUAUUUUUGCAGCUUGCAGAAAGAUGCGGGGUGAGGAAAUAUAUGUAUUUUAGUCGUGUACUCGUGUGGAGAUCUGUCCACUUCAGCUCAAGUUCUCGAGGUCCUGCUAUGAAGUCCCUGUAACUCCUCUUCCAUCUUCCCUUGGCCCCAAGACACGGCCACCAGAAGCAGGGGCAGCACCUCGGAUGGGGAUGCACUGUGGAUGCACCCAGCAGCACAAUGGCAGCCUGUUUUACUCUCCAUUUCUUCCUCCGUAACCCCUAGAAUGGCCACUGCCUUUGUGAUCACUGCUGACGUUUCCAGAAACAGCCUGCCUUGCCUCCACAGCCUCCUUCCAGAGAGGCAAUAGCUCAUUGAGAUGGUGCUGCUGUAUGGGUACAGCCACUGCUGAUUUUUCUCUAUCUGCAGUUACCAACAAUGAAUUUCCUCUGCCAUUUCAUCACCUGCACGCUGCAAUCCUUCGGCGUUUCUUCGCAGUCAGCUUUCGUUGGCACUGUCCUGAAUAAUGCUGUUGCCUUGCGAGUUUUGUUUCCAUCUGCUCCCUUUGCCGGUGUUUGUGGGUCUGCU
ensembl:lncRNA